rnacentral:lncRNA from 1 species
AUAUAUUUCGGUCCACAAUCUACCACUUGCAAACUGCCACCUCUGAUGAGUAAAAGUUGUCACCACUAAUGAACAUAAAUAACCAUGUCAGAAUAUAUAUAUUUUUGGUUAAACAAAUACCGCAAGCAAAUUACCACCUCUGAUGAGUAAAAUUUGUCACUCUAAUGAAUAAAAUUUGCCACCCCUAAUAAACAUAAAUAACCAUGUCAAAAAAAAAUAUUUCGGUAAAAAAUCUAACAUCUACAAAUUACCACCCGUAAUGAACAAAAAUUGCAACCACUAAUGAGCACAAAUAACCAUGUUAAAAUGAAUAUAUUUCGGUCAAAAAUAUACCCCACAAAUUGCGACCGCUAAUUAACACAAGUUGUCAUCCUAAUGAACACAAAUAACCAUGUUCCUCCUGUUUCGGUCAAAAUCUAACUUCCACAAAUGCAUCAUGCAUCUUAUACAACCGCAACACUUCAAAUUGAGCUACCACCUUUAUUCAAGCAACCCCACAACAACCCUAUCUUGUUGUCGCCUCUAAUAAACACAAAUUGCCAUUUCUAAUGAACACAAACAACAAUAUUCAUUCAUUUCGGUCAAAAUCUACCACCCACUACCGCAUCUCGUGUCUCCUCAACUCCAAAAUCGAGCUACCACCUUCAUUCAAGCAACCCCACAACAACCCUAUCUCGUUGUCGCCCCUAAUAAACACAAAUUUCCAUCCCUAAGGAACACAAAAAACAAUGUUCAUCAUUUCGGUGAAAAUCUACCAACCACUACCGCAUCCUGCGUCGCCUCAACUCCAAAAUCGAGUUAUCACCUUCAUACAAAACGACCCUACACAAAUUCUAUCUCCAUGUCAUGCCUAAUGAAUGCGAAUUGCCAACCCUAAUGAACGCAUAUUGCCACUCGUAAUGAGCACACAUUGCCUCUCGUAAUGAGCACAGAUUGCCAAUCGUAGUGAACACAUAUAACCAUGUUAUCAAUGUCUACCAUCCACCGCCGCAUCCUGCAUUUCCUCCACUCCAAAUCGAGGUAUAAACUCCAAGCACACAAAUCCUAUCUCCCUAUCGCUCCUAAUGCACACAAAUUGCCACCCCUUAAAGCACCCAAAUUGAUAGCCCUAAUGCACACAAAUGUCACACCCUAACGAAUACAAAAAGGAAAAAUAAUCAUGUCCAUACAUUUAGAUCAAAAUCCCACCACCACAUCUUGCAUCUACUUCACUCCAAAUUAAGCUAAAGAAUUAAAAUGCACACAAAUUGACCUCCAAUUUAAAUGAAUCCACACAAACCCUAUCUCCAUGUCGCCCCUAAGGACAAAAAUUGCCAUCCCCGAUGAAUACAAAUUGCCAUCCCCGAUGGACAUGAAUUGCCACCCCCAAAGCAAACAAAUUGCCAUGUUCAUACAAUUCGGUCAAAACUAACACACCCCACCGCAUCUCGCAUCUCCUCC